UACGUAGGGUGCGAGCGUUAAUCGGAAUUACUGGGCGUAAAGCGUGCGCAGGCGGUUUUGUAAGCCAGAUGUGAAAGCCCCGGGCUCAACCUGGGAAUGGCAUUUGGGACUGCAAGGCUGGAGUUUGGCAGAGGAGACUGGAAUUCCUGGUGUAGCAGUGAAAUGCGUAGAUAUCAGGAGGAAUACCGAUGGCGAAGGCAGGUCUCUGGGCCGAUACUGACGCUGAGGAGCGAAAGCGUGGGGAGCGAACAGG
rnacentral:rRNA from 1 species